CUACGGGGUGCUCCAGUGGGGAAUAUUGCACAAUGGGGGAAACCCUGAUGCAGCCAUGCCGCGUGUGUGAAGAAGGCCUUAGGGUUGUAAAGCACUUUCAGUUGUGAGGAAAGGGUGCAGGUUAAUACCUUGUACCUGUGACGUUAGCAACAGAAGAAGCACCGGCUAACUCCGUGCCAGCAGCCGCGGUAAUACGGAGGGUGCGAGCGUUAAUCGGAAUUACUGGGCGUAAAGCGCACGUAGGUGGUUGAAUAAGCCAGAUGUGAAAGCCCCGGGCUUAACCUGGGAACUGCAUUUGGAACUGUUCAACGAGAGUACGAGAGAGGGUGGUAGAAUUUCAGGUGUAGCGGUGAGAUGCGUAGAUAUCUGAAGGAAUACCGGUGGCGAAGGCGGCCACCUGGCUCGAUACUGACACUGAGGUGCGAAAGCGUGGGUAGCGAACAGGAUUAGAUACCCCUGUAGUC
rnacentral:rRNA from 1 species